rnacentral:lncRNA from 1 species
AAAAUGAGUCUCAGGCUAGCGCCGCUGCCGCUGGGCCCAGAGGUCGAAGGCAAGUUUCACCUGUUUAAUCAGCGACUGACAAAACGCCAUACUUGCCGUUUGGAUACAGAUUUCCAUGCAUCUUUCGCCCAUCCACGAACGUGGAAGUCAUGUGUCCCUGGAAUGCCUGCUCAAGAGCUGACCGAGGAAACUAAAACCAUUUACUAAAUGUGCCUACUCCCUGCUACGAAAGAAAAUAAAAAGCCAUUUAAAGGUUUUGGUCGCAGAGGACUUUAAAGUUUGCUACGCUAAGAGUAUUUGAGCAGAGAUUUCCAAAUAGCUGCAUUAUGCUAUUAUCUGUUCUAUCAACAAAUGCUUACUAAUGUUUGUCCAGAUUUAUUUUUUUUUGAAA